CUCUAUCUCUUCUCCGACGCUCUCUCUCUUUGAGGUAUAUACCAACAGGUGUUCUCUUCCAUCUCUUCCAUCACAAAGAGGACCACCAGUUAGUGCAAGAGAUGGAAACCAGCUUCAGUUUCCCGGUGUUGAAGAUUAUGACAUGGAGUCAGUGAUGUUCCAUCAGAGGAAUAGAAGCUUUGAGUUGAACGAUCAGUGUGCUCUUGGACCAACCACCCAAGAAGCUCAAGAGGAAAGCCAAGGAAGAGACAAUCAUCAGGAGACAUCUGUUCAAAGCAUCACAGGAAAGCUAUUCGUCAUCAUCAAUAUAUGAUAUGAUACAUCUGCUGGUACUACUAAUACUACUCCAACCGAAGACAUCUGUGAGAAACCGAAGUCAGAUUUGAAUCUGAGGCCAAAGUAGAGUCAAGAGGGGACAGAAGCAAGCGUAUGUUAAGAUGGGGAUUGAGUUUCUUCUCUGUUGCAGUUGCAGGGUUUGCUAUGUGGGUGCAUCUGAAAGAUGAUAUGGUGAUUCUUCCUCAUCUUGUUCCUACUUGAAGCCUAAGUGAUGAACGUAAAAAGCAGCUUAGAACAUAGAGCUUAAGUUUAGAUUGUAUGUUCUCUUUUGUUUACUGUGUGAUGGAUCAUGUUCAGAUACUCGUUUGCUUUUUUUCUAAUCAAAAGUUUGUCACA